rnacentral:rRNA from 1 species
ACGUAGGCAGCGAGCGUUGUUCGGAGUUACUGGGCGUAAAGCGUGCGUAGGCGGUGGUCCAAGUCUGGUGUGAAAUCUCCCGGCUCAACUGGGAGGGUGCGCCGAAGACUGCGAUGCUGGAGUAUGGGAGAGGAAAGCGGAAUUCCUGGUGUAGCGGUGAAAUGCGUAGAUAUCAGGAGGAACACCUGCGGUGUAGACGGCUUUCUGGACCAUUACUGACACUGAGACACGAAAGCGUGGGUAGCAAACAGGA